UACGUAGGGGGCAAGCGUUGUCCGGAUUUAUUGGGCGUAAAGAGCGUGUAGGCGGCCUUGCAAGUCCGUUGUGAAAACUCGAGGCUCAACCUCGAGACGUCGGUUGAAACCGUAUGGCUAGAGUCCGGAAGAGGAGAGUGGAAUUCCCGGUGUAGCGGUGAAAUGCGCAGAUAUCGGGAAGAACACCCGUGGCGAAGGCGGCUCUCUGGGACGGUACUGACGCUGAGACGCGAAAGCGUGGGGAGCGAACAGG
rnacentral:rRNA from 1 species